rnacentral:tRNA from 1 species
GCGUCAUUAGCUCAGUUGGCAGAGCAGCUGACUCUUAAUCAGCGGGUCCGGGGUUCGAGUCCCUGAUGACGCA